UUGGGCGUUAGAAUAACCAAAUGUUAUUUUAAGCGCUCUAGUUCUCUUUCGUCGUCAUGGAAGAAAGUUAUAUUGUGCAUAGACGCCGUAAAGAGGCGGCUGCUAAAAAUCCGGAAAGGCACCACAGACAUCCAUGUGCUUAGCAGGUUUGAUACUUAUUAAUGAUACUGAUGAUAAUACGCGGUUAAACAUGGAAAAAAUAGCUGAUGACACGAAAAAAAUGGAAAUAUUGAUGGUAGAAGAGUCUAGAAAUCCUAGUUCACAUGAUUUUGGAUUGAACGCAGGUGAUGAAAAAAAACACAGCUGGUCCACGAUUUCUAUCGACGCAAUUAGCUCACUAGAUACAAAGCAUAAUUUGGAAACAAGUAGUAUUAAUAGUAACAGGAAUUCACCAACAAAAAUAAAGAGCCAUUUUAAAAGAAGAUUCGCUGAAAAUCCAUAUACAUGUGAGCAGGCUGACUACAAUAACAUCAUUCCAACAGUGCGCUCUGAUACCAUAGACACAAUUCCAACUGAAGAAAGAUUAGCCAAUUAUCCUCAAACGGCGAACGCUCUUCAGUCAAAAGAAGAAGAUGAAACAUGGGGGAUAGCAGAAGAGGAAAAAGAUUGUAUUAACAAAAAUGUACAGGAAAAUAUAAAGAAUAUUGAGUCAUCGACGAGAAAAAAGAAACGACACAAAAUUAUCUUGGAUCGAACAAAGUAUUCGACUUAUUCAAAUAACGAACAACAUUUUAAUGCAGAUAAUAAGUGGUGGAAAGUAUUAUCAUCAGGAACAGCACUACCAGCAGAAAAGAAUAAAAUUAUUCGAAAAUCAACAAGAAAGCCGUUUAUUAUAACAUGUGAAAACAUACGUGAUUACCAGGGCAGUUCUAAAAAUGAUUCAGAAAUCCAGAAGCAGACAGAUCAAAGAACGCAAACGAUAAGUCAUCAUCGGAAUUCCUACAAUGAAGCAGGUAAAGCAAUGUGUACUGAGAAGUGUAUUCCGAAAUUUGAACAAGACUCGGAACUUUCAAAAAACAUAGUCAUGAACAAAUUUAAUUCAGAUUUUAAGAAGGAAAUCAUUCCAUUAAGUAACGAAAGUUUCAUUAAAGAUCUAGCCAACGCUCAAGAGAAAUAUUUGAAAAGGGAAAAUAAUCUUAUAGAUUCUGAAGGUGCAAUUCCCUGCGUCUUUUAUAGUAAAAUUAAUGAAGAGACAAUCGUAAGGAAAAGAAAAUCCAGCAUUAUUCACUCGGAAUCAGAAAAAAAAAAAAUUAUUGAAACAAUUACUCGUCUUUCUGCAGCCAAAUUGAAUUGGUUUUCUCGGCUGUGUUUUUUCUUUUUUCAACAAGAGUUACCACAAACGAGUAAAAAAAUAGUAGCUAAAGGUGGAUUGACUUUCAAAGAGUAUCAUCAGACCUAUAAACAACCUACAAAAGGUACAUCCUUUUCGUGUUCAAAAAAUCAGCCGCAUCAGUGUAUUGCAAAACAAUUACCUCGAAAAAGCAACAGUAGAGAAACAAUUUUAAAAUUUGUUAGUGCUUUCAGAGACUUGUCAACAGAAUUUAAGAAAUUUCUUGAACAGAAUCCACGACAAGUUAAUAUUAUAAUGAUUCUGCGAAACCGUUGUUUUGCUGAAUUAAUCAUAAUAAUUAUUUACUGUGGUUUUGGCGCGUUUAUAUUUCGAUUUACUGAAGGCGCUUUUGAAACGUUUUACAAGUGUGGUGUGAAAAGAGUAAAAAGAGAUUUUUUGGAUAGUCUGUGGAUUUAUAGUCAUAAUUUGCGUGAAGAGGAUUGGAAGAGUAUGGCACGGAGAAAACUUAUGGAGUUUGAAGAACAACUGCAUGUUGCACAUGAUGCUGGUGUUCAUACUUAUAGUGGAAAGAAGAGCUGGACAUUCUCAAAUGCUGUGGUGUAUUGUUUUACUGUCAUUACUACAAUAGGAUAUGGUCAUAUAGCGCCAACUACUACCACGGGUCGUGCUGUCACUAUAGUAUACGCUAUUUUUGGCAUUCCAAUGUUUUUGAUCAUAUUGGCCGACUUUGGUAAAUUGUUCACCCGAGGCAUAAAAUUUCUUUGGGCAUUUAUAAGAAGACUUUACUACACUGGAAGCUGUCGUGAAGCUAGGAGAACCGUAAAUGUCCAAGAAGUGAGAAAAGGAGUGCAGUUAGUUUACGAUUUUGCAACAUUUAGACGUCCGUCACAAAUGAAUCUUGAUGAAGUAGAAGAAAUGAAAAAACAUGGAUCACAAACUCAAAAUGUACUAACUGUGGAUGGAAAUAUUGUAUCGCAUCCAGAAUCAAUAUCAGUACCCAAUACCCCAGAUACACCUGAUAUGUCUACAUUUGCUAUCGACGAUGAAUUCAAUUUGCCAAUUUCGUUAGCUAUUUCUAUUUUAUUAGGAUAUAUUUUCAUCGGGGCAACUCUUUAUCACUUAUGGGAACGAGAAUGGAGCUUCUUCGAGAGCUUCUACUUCGUUUUUAUCUCCAUGAGCACAAUAGGAUUUGGAGAUUAUGUUCCAACGCAUCCUAUGUACAUGAUGUGCUCAAUAGUGUACCUUGUAUUUGGUCUGGCUCUUACAUCUAUGUGCAUUAACGUUGUUCAGAUGAGGUGAAGCGUUUGAUCCAGUAUAAAUGGCACCUGUCGUUUGGAAUUAAAGCAUUCGAUGGCGCCAGGAGCCUUGGACAGUACAAACUUGACAAAGCAAAGAACCGCUCUACUUUAUCAUUCUUCAGGAAUGGUAAAAGAUCUAAUCUACAUGAAUCGGACCAAAGUUUGAGGUACGAAUAUUUUUACGGAACACGAUCUGGACCCGGAAUCUGUUCAAGAGCGCAGGGCCCUUGGCCCUUGGAAAAUUUCCUGACUAAGCGUGCUACUCCUACAAUUCCUAACCAACCUCGUAACCGUCCUUCUGAGUGACUCAUCAAGAAUCAAAAUGUUAAGAAGUCUGUUGGUGAGCCUCUCAGAGCAUAUUCGAGAAAUGUUAUGCUGUCUGAUCAAUUUAGGCACGCUUCUCAAAAAAUUGGUGCAACAAUUGGCUUCGAAGUGGUUGAAGAAGGUUUAUCAAUUCAACAUGCAGAAUUACAACCGAUAGA